ACAUGCAGUCGAGCGAGANCUGGCUCUCCUGUCUUCGGGUAGGAGAGCCGGGNNNNANCGGCGGANGGGUGAGUAACACGUAGGUAACCUGCCCCGAAGUGGGGGAUAACCAUCCGAAAGGGUGGCUAAUACCGCAUGUGCUCUGCGGGCUGGGAGGCCCGUGGAGUAAAGCUCCGGCGCUUCGGGAGGGGCCUGCGGCCGAUUAGCUAGUUGGUGGGGUAAGGGCCCACCAAGGCGAUGAUCGGUAGCUGGUCUGAGAGGACGAUCAGCCACACGGGAACUGAGACACGGUCCCGACUCCUACGGGGGGCAGCAGUGAGGAAUAUUGGACAAUGGGCGCAAGCCUGAUCCAGCAACGCCGCGUGGAGGANGAAGGCCUUCGGGUUGUANACUCCUUUUCUGGGGGAAGAGGANGGACGGUACCCCAGGAAUAAGANNCGGCUAACUACGUGCCAGCAGCCGCGNUAACACGUAGGUGUCGAGCGUUAUCCGGAAUUACUGGGCGUAAAGCGCACGCAGGCGGCACGACUAGUCUCGUGUGAAAGCUCUCGGCUCANCCGGGAGAGGUCGCGGGAAACUGUCGUGCUUGAGGNAGGGNGAGGGGCGUGNAANUCCCGGUGUAGCGNNNNAAUGCGUANNUNUCGGGNGNAACACCAGUGNCNANNGCGGCGCCCUGG
rnacentral:rRNA from 1 species